rnacentral:rRNA from 1 species
GAUGAACGCUAGCGGCAGGCUUAAUACAUGCAAGUCGAGGGGCAGCAUGGUGUAGCAAUACACUGAUGGCGACCGGCAAACGGGUGCGGAACACGUACGCAACCUUCCCAAAACUGGUGAAUAGCCCUCCGAAAGGAGGAUUAAUACACCGUAACAUAAUGAAGUGGCAUCACUUUGUUAUUAUAACUCCGGUGGUUUUGGAUGGGCGUGCGGCUGAUUAGGUAGUUGGCGGGGUAACGGCCCACCAAGCCUGCGAUCAGUAACUGGUGUGAGAGCACGACCAGUCACACGGGCACUGAGACACGGGCCCGACUCCUACGGGAGGCAGCAGUAAGGAAUAUUGGUCAAUGGACGAAAGUCUGAACCAGCCAUGCCGCGUGAAGGAUGAAGGUCCUCUGGAUUGUAAACUUCUUUUAUCAGGGAAUAAUCUUGAAGGUACCUGAUGAAUAAGCACCGGCUAACUACGUGCCAGCAGCCG